GAUGAACGCUGGCGGCGUGCCUAAUACAUGCAAGUCGAGCGAACAGAUGAGGAGCUUGCUCCUCUGACGUUAGCGGCGGACGGGUGAGUAACACGUGGAUAACCUACCUAUAAGACUGGGAUAACUUCGGGAAACCGGAGCUAAUACCGGAUAAUAUAUUGAACCGCAUGGUUCAAUAGUGAAAGACGGUUUUGCUGUCACUUAUAGAUGGAUCCGCGCCGCAUUAGCUAGUUGGUAAGGUAACGGCUUACCAAGGCAACGAUGCGUAGCCGACCUGAGAGGGUGAUCGGCCACACUGGAACUGAGACGCGGUCCAGACUCCUACGGGAGGCAGCAGUAGGGAAUCUUCCGCAAUGGGCGAAAGCCUGACGGAGCAACGCCGCGUGAUUGAUGCAGGUCUUCGGAUCGUAAAACUCUGUUAUUAGGGAAGAACAAAUGUGUAAGUAACUAUGCACGUCUUGACGGUACCUAAUCAGAAAGCCACGGCUAACUACGUG
rnacentral:rRNA from 1 species